rnacentral:rRNA from 1 species
AUUGAACGCUGGCGGCAGGCCUAACACAUGCAAGUCGAGCGGACGAAGGGAGCUUGCUCCUGGAUUCAGCGGCGGACGGGUGAGUAAUGCCUAGGAAUCUGCCUGGUAGUGGGGGAUAACGUCCGGAAACGGGCGCUAAUACCGCAUACGUCCUGAGGGAGAAAGUGGGGGAUCUUCGGACCUCACGCGAUCAGAUGAGCCUAGGUCGGAUUAGCUAGUUGGUGGGGUAAGGGCCUACCAAGGCGACGAUCCGUAACUGGUCUGAGAGGAUGAUCAGUCACACUGGAACUGAGACACGGUCCAGACUCCUACGGGAGGCAGCAGUGGGGAAUAUUGGACAAUGGGCGAAAGCCUGAUCCAGCCAUGCCGCGUGUGUGAAGAAGGUCUUCGGAUUGUAAAGCACUUUUAGUUGGGAGGAAGGGCAGUAAGUUAAUCCCUUGCUGUUUUGACGUUACCAACAGAAUAAGCACCGGCUAACUUCGUG